rnacentral:rRNA from 1 species
UACGAGGGGUGCAAGCGUUGCUCGGAAUUAUUGGGCGUAAAGGGUAGGUAGGUGGUCUGAUUUGUCAGGGGUGAAAGCCUUGGGCUUAACCCAAGAAGUGCCCCUGAAACGGUCAGACUGGAGUCUUGGAGAGGGUCGUGGAAUUCCCGGUGUAGCGGUGAAAUGCGUAGAUAUCAGGAGGAAUACCGAUGGCGAAGGCGGCUUUCUGGGACGGUACUGACGCUGAGACGCGAAAGCGUGGGGAGCGAACAGG